rnacentral:rRNA from 1 species
UGCGUACCUUUUGUAUAAUGGGUCAGCGACUUAUAUUCUGUAGCAAGGUUAACCGAAUAGGGGAGCCGAAGGGAAACCGAGUCUUAACUGGGCGUUAAGUUGCAGGGUAUAGACCCGAAACCCGGUGAUCUAGCCAUGGGCAGGUUGAAGGUUGGGUAACACUAACUGGAGGACCGAACCGACUAAUGUUGAAAAAUUAGCGGAUGACUUGUGGCUGGGGGUGAAAGGCCAAUCAAACCGGGAGAUAGCUGGUUCUCCCCGAAAGCUAUUUAGGUAGCGCCUCGUGAAUUCAUCUCCGGGGGUAGAGCACUGUUUCGGCAAGGGGGUCAUCCCGACUUACCAACCCGAUGCAAACUGCGAAUACCGGAGAAUGUUAUCACGGGAGACACACGGCGGGUGCUAACGUCCGUCGUGAAGAGGGAAACAACCCAGACCGCCAGCUAAGGUCCCAAAGUCAUGGUUAAGUGGGAAACGAUGUGGGAAGGCCCAGACAGCCAGGAUGUUGGCUUAGAAGCAGCCAUCAUUUAAAGAAAGCGUAAUAGCUCACUGGUCGAGUCGGCCUGCGCGGAAGAUGUAACGGGGCUAAACCAUGCACCGAAGCUGCGGCAGCGACGCUUAUGCGUUGUUGGGUAGGGGAGCGUUCUGUAAGCCUGUGAAGGUGUGCUGUGAGGCAUGCUGGAGGUAUCAGAAGUGCGAAUGCUGACAUAAGUAACGAUAAAGCGGGUGAAAAGCCCGCUCGCCGGAAGACCAAGGGUUCCUGUCCAACGUUAAUCGGGGCAGGGUGAGUCGACCCCUAAGGCGAGGCCGAAAGGCGUAGUCGAUGGGAAACAGGUUAAUAUUCCUGUACUUGGUGUUACUGCGAAGGGGGGACGGAGAAGGCUAUGUUGGCCGGGCGACGGUUGUCCCGGUUUAAGCGUGUAGGCUGAUUUUCCAGGCAAAUCCGGAAAAUCAAGGCUGAGGCGUGAUGACGAGGCACUACGGUGCUGAAGCAACAAAUGCCCUGCUUCCAGGAAAAGCCUCUAAGCAUCAGGUAACAUCAAAUCGUACCCCAAACCGACACAGGUGGUCAGGUAGAGAAUACCAAGGCGCUUGAGAGAACUCGGGUGAAGGAACUAGGCAAAAUGGUGCCGUAACUUCGGGAGAAGGCACGCUGAUAUGUAGGUGAAGUCCCUCGCGGAUGGAGCUGAAAUCAGUCGAAGAUACCAGCUGGCUGCAACUGUUUAUUAAAAACACAGCACUGUGCAAACACGAAAGUGGACGUAUACGGUGUGACGCCUGCCCGGUGCCGGAAGGUUAAUUGAUGGGGUCAGCGCAAGCGAAGCUCUUGAUCGAAGCCCCGGUAAACGGCGGCCGUAACUAUAACGGUCCUAAGGUAGCGAAAUUCCUUGUCGGGUAAGUUCCGACCUGCACGAAUGGCGUAAUGAUGGCCAGGCUGUCUCCACCCGAGACUCAGUGAAAUUGAACUCGCUGUGAAGAUGCAGUGUACCCGCGGCAAGACGGAAAGACCCCGUGAACCUUUACUAUAGCUUGACACUGAACAUUGAGCCUUGAUGUGUAGGAUAGGUGGGAGGCUUAGAAGUGUGGACGCCAGUCUGCAUGGAGCCGGCCUUGAAAUACCACCCUUUAAUGUUUGAUGUUCUAACGUGGACCCGUAAUCCGGGUUGCGGACAGUGUCUGGUGGGUAGUUUGACUGGGGCGGUCUCCUCCUAAAGAGUAACGGAGGAGCACGAAGGUUGGCUAAUCCUGGUCGGACAUCAGGAGGUUAGUGCAAUGGCAUAAGCCAGCUUGACUGCGAGCGUGACGGCGCGAGCAGGUGCGAAAGCAGGUCAUAGUGAUCCGGUGGUUCUGAAUGGAAGGGCCAUCGCUCAACGGAUAAAAGGUACUCCGGGGAUAACAGGCUGAUACCGCCCAAGAGUUCAUAUCGACGGCGGUGUUUGGCACCUCGAUGUCGGCUCAUCACAUCCUGGGGCUGAAGUAGGUCCCAAGGGUAUGGCUGUUCGCCAUUUAAAGUGGUACGCGAGCUGGGUUUAGAACGUCGUGAGACAGUUCGGUCCCUAUCUGCCGUGGGCGCUGGAGAACUGAGGGGGGCUGCUCCUAGUACGAGAGGACCGGAGUGGACGCAUCACUGGUGUUCGGGUUGUCAUGCCAAUGGCACUGCCCGGUAGCUAAAUGCGGAAGAGAUAAGUGCUGAAAGCAUCUAAGCACGAAACUUGCCCCGAGAUGAGUUCUCCCUGACUCCUUGAGAGUCCUGAAGGAACGUUGAAGACGACGACGUUGAUAGGCCGGGUGUGUAAGCGCAGCGAUGCGUUGAGCUAACCGGUACUAAUGAACCGUGAGGCUUAACCUUACAACGCCGAAG